AAUGUGUAAUUAGGGACCAUAUGAUUCUUAAUAAGAAAGGAGAGGAUUCUGGGGUAAAUCCCUCAGUUACGGACACAACAGACUUGUCAAACGCAACGCGCAAAGAAGCUCGUAGAGCCUGUAAUUCUAUUUUUUAUCGUCCUUUGGUAAAUACAAGAAAUUAAUGCUUUUGUAGAAUUUGUUACCCGUAUUAACAAGAGAGAUAAAAUUAUACUACGGAUUCAAAACCAAAAGAUAUGGAGGAUUGCAUUCUCACUUUAUGGUGUCAUAUGGCCCGAAGAUGAGCCUUAUGCAGAUGAAGCAAUUGAACUGCUGAGGACAACCAUAUCUCAGAGAUGGGUGGAGGUUGAACUGCAGACUAUUGAUGAAGAUGGAUAUUUUGUGGGAUAUUUAUCGGAGUCAAAUACCAUGUGCUAACUCCCGUCCUUGAAGCCGGCCUUGCAGAACUUGAAG